AACGCUCGUUAUUGAUGUCGGCCAUAAACAUACUUUUCUUUUUAUAUUCUUCUUCUUGGUAUGGAUCAUGCCAAUACGUUGCUUGAAUAAAUUUUCCUUGAACUGGUCUGUAAUGAAAUAAAAUAAUUCUAUAACAUGAGUAACGAACUGAAAUGAAAGUAUUUAUAAAAGAAUAUAUACUUUAUAUUUUAUAUGUACUAUGUAAUAAUUAUACACGUGUAGGUAUAAGUUAUUGCUAUUAUAUAAAAGUGUACGUUAAUAUAAAUGUUAAAGGAACAAUAUUACAAUCCCUUUUAAAAGGUAUUUUAUACUUUGUAUACUACUUAUACUUAUUAUUACUAAUUAAUGAGAUCUGAUUAUAUCUAAUAAAUUUCGUAUCACUUGUAAUACAAAAAAUUGAUACUAUACAAAUGAAAUGUAAAACUUUAUAAAAAAGACGCUUUAUUGGUAAAAGAGGUACGUAUAAAUACGGUAAUUAUUUAGAGAGCUACAAUUAUCUUGGAUUUCGAUGAUUUUUUGAUAUAUUAUCGGGAACAUGAUUCUAAACAACUUUCAUCUAUAAGUGUAGUCGCCGUUCGGUCUUAUUUUACGAAAUAUUUAUUAAAAGCUGUUAAUAUCAUUAUAAUGAAUUCUGCCUAUAAUUGUACGUUCGUGAUAGCGUAUAGGAACGUAAAAGGAAUCUUUCGUC
rnacentral:misc_RNA from 1 species